CCUACGGGUGGCAGCAGUGAGGAAUAUUGGUCAAUGGGCGCGAGCCUGAACCAGCCAAGUCGCGUGAGGGAUGACGGUCCUACGGAUUGUAAACCUCUUUUGCCGGGGAGCAAGCGUGCGUUCGUGAACGCGCGUCGAGAGUACCCGGAGAAAAAGCAUCGGCUAACUCCGUGCCAGCAGCCGCGGUAAUACGGAGGAUGCGAGCGUUAUCCGGAUUUAUUGGGUUUAAAGGGUGCGUAGGCGGGAUGCCAAGUCAGCGGUAAAAAUGCGGUGCUCAACGCCGUCGAGCCGUUGAAACUGGCGUUCUUGAGUUCACAACAGGCAGGCGGAAUUCGUGGUGUAGCGGUGAAAUGCAUAGAUAUCACGAGGAACCCCGAUUGCGAAGGCAGCCUGCCGGGGUGCGACUGACGCUGAGGCUCGAAGGUGCGGGUAUCAAACAGGAUUAGAUACCCGGGUAGUC
rnacentral:rRNA from 1 species